UGAUACCCUAAGGUGCAUAAGGUACUGAAAAUAGUGUUUACACGUAUUUUCAGUACUUUGGCACCUGCAAAAACAUGAGAAUGAAGCCACUAUAGUGGCGAAAAUUCGAAUGUUUUUAGGAUUUCGGGAGUGCCUUGCACGAAGAAAUCCGCCGGGUAUCA
rnacentral:sRNA from 1 species